CAGUAUGAAAAGAUUGACAGAUGAAAAAGUGUCUCUAGAACAGAAGAUAUCUAGGCUUGAGAAAAAGAUUGUUGAAGAGAGAUGGAAUUUCUCAAGAAAAACUUUGAGCAAGAACACAAGACCUUAAAGCUUCAAGUGACUGAACUUGAAAAGAAGUUGGAAGUGGUUACAGAAAAAUUAGCUGCCACGAAUCAACUCUUGCAAUUAAGGAUGCAGAUUUUGCUACCUUGCAAAAUAGUGUGAAGGAACUAGAGGAACUGAGAGAAAUGAAAGAGGACAUUAGAUAGAAAAAAUGAGCAAACUGUUGCUAUAUUGAAG
rnacentral:misc_RNA from 1 species